rnacentral:lncRNA from 1 species
UAGCGACUGUGCCUGUCUGCAGAGCGAGAGAAGGUACAGAAGUCAGAAGAGAGAGCGAGAGAGAGCACUCUUCUGUUAUAAGCAGAGCUCUCAGAAGGUGCUUGGCUUUGGAGUCACCAUGCCUUGCUUGAACAUGAAAUUGCUGUUAGCAGUGGUCUGAGGAAUUAGACUCAGAUUGGCAGUGUCCUUGAUGCCUCAAGAAUCCGUAUUAGUUGUCUCCUCUCUACUUCU